GACGAACGCUGGCGGCGUGCCUAAUACAUGCAAGUAGAACGCACAGUUUAUACCGUAGCUUGCUACACCAUACACUGUGAGUUGCGAACGGGUGAGUAACGCGUAGGUAACCUGCCUGGUAGCGGGGGAUAACUAUUGGAAACGAUAGCUAAUACCGCAUAAUAUUAAUUAUUGCAUGAUAAUUGAUUGAAAGAUGCAAUUGCAUCACUACCAGAUGGACCUGCGUUGUAUUAGCUAGUAGGUGAGGUAACGGCUCACCUAGGCGACGAUACAUAGCCGACCUGAGAGGGUGAUCGGCCACACUGGGACUGAGACACGGCCCAGACUCCUACGGGAGGCAGCAGUAGGGAAUCUUCGGCAAUGGACGAAAGUCUGACCGAGCAACGCCGCGUGAGGGAAGAAGGGUUUCGGAUCGUAAAGCUCUGUUGUAAGAGAAGAACGGGUGUGAGAGUGGAAAGUUCACACUGUGACGGUAUCUUACCAGAAAGGGACGGCUAACUACGUG
rnacentral:rRNA from 1 species